rfam:Megaselia scalaris, Durham, NC isolate 2 -- Noor lab, WGS project CAQQ02000000 data, contig: ctg0000177181
CAACCGGUUCUUUUAAGAACCAACAAUUUAUUUAUAAAGAGAAUA